rnacentral:rRNA from 1 species
GUUGAUUACGUCCCUGCCCUUUGUACACACCGCCCGUCGCUACUACCGAUUGAAUGGCUUAGUGAGACCUCCGGAUUGGCUUUGGGGAGUCGGCAACGACACCCCGUUGCUGAGAAGUUGGUCAAACUUGGUCAUUUAGAGGAAGUAAAAGUCGUAACAAGG